GUCCAGACUCCUACGGGAGGCAGCAGUGGGGAAUAUUGCACAAUGGGGGAAACCCUGAUGCAGCAACGCCGCGUGAGUGAAGAAGUAUUUCGGUAUGUAAAGCUCUAUCAGCAGGGAAGAAAAUGACGGUACCUGAGUAAGAAGCCCCGGCUAACUACGUGCCAGCAGCCGCGGUAAUACGUAGGGGGCAAGCGUUAUCCGGAUUUACUGGGUGUAAAGGGAGCGUAGACGGCGAUACAAGUCUGAAGUGAAAGCCCGGGGCUCAACCCCGGGACUGCUUUGGAAACUGUGUUGCUGGAGUGCUGGAGAGGCAAGCGGAAUUCCUAGUGUAGCGGUGAAAUGCGUAGAUAUUAGGAAGAACACCAGUGGCGAAGGCGGCUUGCUGGACAGUAACUGACGUUGAGGCUCGAAAGCGUGGGGAGCAAACAGGAUUAGAUACCCCUGUAGUA
rnacentral:rRNA from 1 species